rnacentral:rRNA from 1 species
GGCAGCAGCUAAGAAUAUUCCGCAAUGGACGAAAGUCUGACGGAGCGACGCCGCGUGGAUGAUGAAGGCCGGAAGGUUGUAAAAUCCUUUUAUGACUGAGGAAUAAGUGAAGUGAGAGAAACGCUUCAUGGUGACUGUAGGUCAUGAAUAAGCAACGGCUAAUUACGUGCCAGCAGCCGCGGUAACACGUAAGUUGCGAGCGUUGUUCGGAAUUAUUGGGCGUAAAGGGUAUGUAGGCGGUUCUGCAAGUCUGGUGUGAAAUGCCGGGGCUCAACCCCGGAACUGCGUUGGAAACUGCAGGACUUGAAUCGCUGAGGGGCAGCCAGAAUUCCAGGUGUAGGGGUGAAAUCUGUAGAUAUCUGGAAGAAUACCAAUGGCGAAGGCAGGCUGCCAGCAGAUGAUUGACGCUGAGGUACGAAGGUGCGGGGAGCAAACAGGAUUAGAUACCCUGGUAGUCCGCACAGUCAACUAUGUACACUGGGUGUCCGCUCAUGAGAGUGGGUGCCGAAGCAAACGCGAUAAGUGUACCGCCUGGGGAGUAUGCCCGCAAGGGUGAAACUCAAAGGAAUUGACGG